rnacentral:siRNA from 1 species
GAGGGAGUGUCGACUAUUCUC